AGCAGUGCAAAAGACCCUAUAGCCACCUUGACACUUGCACAAAUUUAAUCCCUGCACAGCCGCACAGUUCGUUGUGCCAGUGUGACCCGGUUUGUCCCGC